AUAUGCAAGGCUUUCUCCAAUGUGCUCCAAGGAAUGCUGUCCAAUGCUGUUCAUGUCACCUGUAAACAGUAGGCCUGUACCUAUUCUGACUGCAAAUGCAGCUUUCC